CUGCGUGGCAGCAGGUGAGGUGGGCUGGCUCUGUGUGCCUGUGCCCUCCCUUGAGUGAUGCAGAGCUUCUUUCAGGGAGCUGUGGCAGGACAGGGAGCUGGACCCCAGUGUCCCACCAUGUCCCUGUGUGCUGGGAGCACUGGUCAGGAGCACCAACAUGGACUCAGGACCAAGGUGAACUCUAUCCUGUCCCAGAUUUACGCCAGAAGAAGAUCCUCCUGCUGUAAACACCUUCCUGCUGAGAGACCCAGGCUAAUUACCAUGUUGCUGCCCUCCUUUGUUCUCUCAUUUUCUCUUUCUGACUCCCCUGCUGCUUCGAACAUGCUUGUGAGCUCCCUUUCUGGCAGCCUGUGGGUCUGACUUCUCCCUCGGACUGGAAGGGCUUUCCAGAUGUGUGCACAAGAUGUAAGUACCACCUCAACACUACCACAAAACAUUUCUUCAUGCAGAAAAGGAAAGCAGAAAUCCAGCAUUUUGGUUUCCUGCUGGAGGAAGAUAGUGCUGUAUCCCUCCCAAAGGCAGUUGUUCAGCUCCAGAAACUAUUUAGGAUGACAUAGGAGUGGGAUGUUCCAAAAUUCUUGGAGACUUGAUGGAAAUGCAGUUGUGGGAAACCAAUCAUUGCUCAGAAAUGUCUUUUGUUUUACUGGUGAUAUUUUUUCCUCUCUCCCCUCAGCUUGCCUUAUAUAAUUAUAAGGGUGGUGAAAGCUCAAAAGGCAAGGCUUGAUUGCAGCAAUUAACUUCCCCAGACACAGAUGCUGAAUGAUUGUGAGCUUGGGCCUGUCUCUUGGCUGCUGCAGGCUACUGGAGUGAUUGCUGGCAUUCAGGAGUGAACCUCGCUGCCCAUCCCAGAGUGUAGGGAGGGAUGCUAGAGCCCCAUUACCAGCAGGGGACAGAUAGGAUCACCAAGAUCUGCUAAUUGCCCAGGUCACCUCAGCACUUUAUGGUGUUUAGAGACCCAGCUCCCCUUGGUUUCAAAGUGAUUGAGUUGCUUGUGAUUCGCCUCAAUGUUUUCUCACUUUGACCAGAAGCAGUCAGUAGGGUAAAAGGUAAAGACAAGUUUCCCCUCUUUUGUGCUAGGGACCUGAGCACAGUCUCAAUGCCAGCUAGGAUCUAUGGAGAGCUUUCUUUGGAGAGCAGAGGAAAGAUCGACAAAGUCUGUCCGUGCCACAUCGGAUCUGGGAGCAGUGGUGGAGGUUUACAGCUGAGGAAUUACCAGCAAUAUGCAGCAGCAGUGGAGGGAUUCACGGAGGGUUUGGGCAGAGCAGGUCUGCUAGGAAAGCCAGAAAUGCUGCAGUGCACGUGUGGCUGGAGGAAGCAGAGAGAAAUUGUUUGUGGGAACAACGCUUGCAGGCUAGAUCUGGGGAUUUUGCAGCAGGGAACUUCCAGCUGAUCUUCUGCUGAAUGCAAUUGCACGAGCAGUUUCUCUAUAAAAAAAGAAAACUGGUGAGAAGAGUCCUGCCUGAUGCUUUGCAGACCAACUUGGCAAGACCUGGGUUUCUCCUGAGUAACAGGACAUCACCAGGCUCUGUUCUUACCCAGGAUUGCCUUGGGUGCCAGCAGUGGGAGUCUAAAUAUUUUGAGGUGCUUUCCUACAGGUACACUGGGCAGGCCGGGCUUGCUCAGCUUCCAGGAUCAGGGCACUGAAUUCAUCGUGGCUGAGGGCCUCAGCUAAAUUGGGGCAAUUUUCUUCUCCUUGGGUUUUGAAGCACCACGCUUCAGCCUUUGCAUAAAUAAUGUAAAUUAAGGGGAGGAGGAGGAUAGUGCUUUGGGGAGGGCAGCAGCAAGUAGCAAAUUUGUGUGGCUCCUCGCAGCCAGGAGGGUGAUGUGGCUUACAUCAGCUCCAGAUUUAUGAACCUUUGUCAUUGUUUCUGUUUGCAAACCAGAUCCAGUUUUUUAAGCUGGGUUUUUCCAUCCCCUCCAGCUUUCAGCUUCUGUCCAUCAAAUACUCGGGCCACUCCGAUCCCUCUCCCAGCUGCAGAAGGAGAUGAGGCACCAGCCAGGGCAGCCAGCAACUCUGCAGCCUGGAGGUGAUGGAAACGCAGCUGGAGGUGCCUGACCACUGCAGCGGACGUGUGCUGAGAUCCUCCUGGACAGAAACAUCGUACAGCUGUCCUGCAAUCUCUGCUGGACCCAAAAUAGUCUGCUUUGUGGUUUCCCUGCCCUGUAGUUUCUGCACAGAGCAAUCGGACUGACACGGUAAAAUGAGGAGAGGUCUUCUAAACCAUCAGAACAAUGUGUCUUCUGCUUUGGCUCCGGUUUUGCACAAAGCUGGGUAUCCAACCUGCUAUUUAUUUCAAAUGGCUGCUGAGCUUUGACAAGGACAGCCAUAGCUACCAGGUCUCUGAAGCCCUUGGCAAAGAGCAGGGUGGAUUUCAGUGUGAGGAGGGAUUGCCCUGGCCUGGCUGUGCUGCCCCUGAAGGACCUGCAAGGAGCAGAAGUGAGGUUGCUGAAGGAGCACCCCUUGGCCUUUGCUCCUCAGAGCCCCAGGCAGGGCCUUUGCAAAGGAAACAGAGACACACGGCCACCCCUGGCCAAAGGAGGCCUGGAGGAUUGCACAGAGACCAUCUCCUUCUCCUCCCCAGAGUGCUGUGGUCUCCGGGGUUGGUCUCCUGGGGGAGGACGAGAGGACGGCAGGCAGCAAGGACACUGCCAGCCUUGCCUGGUGACUGGUGGCACCAAAGGCCGCCAGCAGCCUCCACCAAUUCUGUGGCCAGGGCAAGGUGAAAUCUUGCCCCUGAAAACCCAGGGCAAGAUCUCUGUUCAUGGGAUGGUGUGGGAGCAGGGUGCCAGGACCCCGCUGUCAGUACCGGGAAGGGCCUACCCACCAGGUAGCCCUCUGCUGACAAAUAUGAGGGAUAUAUUGCUGACAAACAUGAGGCCUGCACUCUUGGAGCUGAUAGUGAACCCACGAGAAGGAAAAAUAAGGCAAAUUGGGGAUGGAAGAGCACUGUACUCCUUUCUGUGGCAGAGCAGGAGCAAGAGGGUCUGGGUUGCCAGCCCGGAGAGAGCAGCCAGACACCCAGCCCUGCGGCCAGCUCAGGAAAUGGUCUUUUCGUUAAGCAGCUCUACGCAGCUCUAAUUAAAUUACGGGAUUAGAGCCAUCUCAUUCCUCACUCAUCUGGUGCCAGGCGCUUGUUCCAAGGGAGUGCUCUCCAUUAAAGGGAGAACUGCCUGCGUAGCACUCUGCGCGGUCUCAUCAAGAGUCUGGGCCGCCACAGAGUCCUUUCUUUGUCACACUGCAUUGCAGCCCAGGCUGUGUGACCGUGUCGCACUGCCUGGCAGUCACUUAGGCCCU